rnacentral:rRNA from 1 species
GAUGAACGCUAGCUACAGGCGUAACACAUGCAAGUCGCGGGACCGGCGCACGGGUGAGUAACGCGUAUCCAACCUGCCCUUCACCACGGGAUAACCCGGCGAAAGUCGGACUAAUACAGUGUGGUGGAGGACGGGGGUGCGUCCGAUUAGCUUGACGGUGGUGUAAGGGGCCAGCGAGGCUACGAUAGGUAGGGGUUCUGAGAGGGAGGUCCCCCACACUGGAACUGAGAGCCGGUCCAGAGUCCUACGGGAGGCAGCAGUAAGGAAUAUAGGUCACUGGACGUAAGCCUGAACAAGCCAAGUAGCGUGAAGGACGACGGCCUAUGGGUGGUAAACUGCUUUUAUGCGGGGAUAGGUACCGGAUGAAUAAGGACCGGCUAAUUCCGUGCCAGCAGCCGCGGUAAUAC